CCGCCAUCCGGCCCGAGGAGCUCGAGUUCCCCAACACCAUGACGGACAUCGACUACGACACCUGGAUGCUGAGCGGCACGGCCAUCAUGCAGGACGGCAACACGACGCGCAACAACUACGGCUGCGACCUGGACGCGCUGGGCGCGGGCUCGCGCAUCGGCAUGAUGCGCACGGCGGCGGGCGAGCUGCGCUACUUCAUCGACGGCGCCGACCAGGGCGUCGCGUGCGCGGGGCUGCCGCCGGGUGA